UAUAAAGGCCGUGGUGAGUUAUUGCGACUUGCGACCACGUAAAAUAAACCGCUAAACAGCUGAAGCUAUCUUCAA
rnacentral:ncRNA from 2 species